GAGACUGCCAGGGAUAACCUGGAGGAAGGUGGGGAUGACGUCAAAUCAUCAUGCCCCUUAUGCUUAGGGCUACACACGUGCUACAAUGGGUAGUACAGAGGGUUGCCAAGCCGUAAGGUGGAGCUAAUCCCUUAAAGCUACUCUCAGUUCGGAUUGUAGGCUGAAACUCGCCUACAUGAAGCUGGAGUUACUAGUAAUCGCAGAUCAGAAUGCUGCGGUGAAUGCGUUCCCGGGUCUUGUACACACCGCCCGUCACACCACGGGAGUUGGAGACGCCCGAAGCCGAUUAUCUAACCUUUUGGAAGAAGUCGUCGAAGGUGGAAUCAAUAACUGGGGUGAAGUCGUAACAAGGUAGCCGUAUCGGAAGGUGCGGCUGGAUC
rnacentral:rRNA from 1 species